rnacentral:rRNA from 1 species
AACGAACGCUGGCGGCAUGCCUAACACAUGCAAGUCGAACGAGACCUUCGGGUCUAGUGGCGCACGGGUGCGUAACGCGUGGGAACCUGCCCUUAGGUUCGGAAUAACUCCCCGAAAGGGGUGCUAAUACCGGAUAAUGUCUUCGGACCAAAGAUUUAUCGCCUUUGGAUGGGCCCGCGUUGGAUUAGCUAGUUGGUAGGGUAAAAGCCUACCAAGGCGACGAUCCAUAGCUGGUCUGAGAGGAGGAACAGCCACACUGGGACUGAGACACGACCCAGACGCCUACGGGAGGCAGCAGUGGGGAAUAUUGGACAACGGGCGAAAGCCUGAUCCAGCAAGGCCGCGUGAGUGAUGAAGGCGUUAGGGUUGUAAAGCUCUUUUACCCGGGAUGAUAAUGACAGUACCGGGAGAAUAAGCUCCGGCUAACUCCGUG